rnacentral:rRNA from 1 species
GAGCAAAGACCGUAGAUAGCUGACCCACUUUGCAGCGCGUCCACGCUUUCCUAAAACCGGUUAGGAGAGGAGCGCGCGCCGCACGAAGCUCACCCAACACCUUGGGAUCUGGGGAAAGGGGUUAGGGUGCCGGCGGAGGUAGGAGGGCACGAGGUGGGGCUCGCACGGGCCCGAGGCGGAGGAGGAGGUGGUAUGGAAGAGAAGAGUGAGAAGGAGGACAGCGUCGGCGGAGGAGAAGAGGGAUAGAAGGAGGAGGAGCGGGGUGCGCUGGGGAGAACACGGCGAGCAAGGUGAAGCAACGGCGGUAUCUAGCUCCUCCUGCCGCGCUACUGCUGGUACUACGUAGCCUGUAGGGUCUAGCUGCGGCGGUACCUUCGGUACUCUCGACCGGCUCCUUCUCCCCCGUCCCGGCGUCCGGUACUUCCCGUACCGCCGACGCCCGCCUUCGUCGUACCCAACUUCCUCGCCGCCUACACCCGCCCCAGUCUCCACCCCUUCUGAGCAGCCGACCCGUUGUCGUUCGCGGCCAAGAUGCUAGACAACGUAGAGAAAAGAAGAGCAAUUCCUCUCCCCUCCGCCGGUUACUGUCCCUCUUCCUCGUCCGGCAGCUCCUCACGUUCGUCUUCCCCGUAUAACAAAACCAAUAGUCACCAACCUCUAUAACACCGAACUACAGGGACCUCGUCAGUCUGGGAAGGUUCUAUCCAGCUCGCUGCCGCUCGUGUAGGCUGCCGUUGUGUGGGCAAGAAAGAGAGGGGUACGGCGGAGGAGGGAAGCCGGGACUAAGUAGCCGCGCACGUCCGUGGAAAGGAAGAAACUGAAGAGGGGAGAAAAAACAUUUUCGUUUUUUCUUCGUCCUCGUUUUCCUUUCACUCGUGGUAUCUUUCCUACUAAUAUUCGUUCGCUGUUCUUGUUCGGUUACCCGUACCCUAAAAGUUCGCUGUUCUUGUUCGGUUACCCGUACCGUAAAAUACUUUUUACUCGUCUCUCUGGUCCGCACCCUGAUCACGAACCAUCGUCGUCGCUAAGGAAGUCCGUAAAGCUAAGGUCAUUGGUGUUCAAGAUCCCUUCUACAUACAAAGGAUGAUUUCCCAAACUCAAACUCUCCGUGUCUUCUUCAAUGUUCACAACGUCGAAUAAACCGAAAUAUCACUGUACAUAGCUGUUUGCUAACAAUAUAAGUCAUACGAUCCCACACAGGAUAAAUAGUACGUCUAAGACAUAAUCCACGAGCUAUCUCCAUUGUUUUCGAUUGUCUCUAGUCUUAUAUAAAAAUGAAUAUAAAAACAGAAAGAAAAUCAAGACACAUCAGAAAUAAAUGGUACAUUACUAAUCAAACUUACGAAUAUCACCACUAAGAAAGGGAUAUUUAAACAACCCAUCUAAUAUUAAGGCAAUGAACUAAAUCCUAUCAUAUACCAAGAUACUAUGUCCUAAAUCUCCUUGUAUAUACCCUAAAUCAAAAAGUCCAGUGUGGACAGGGUAUAAGAAAAUGAAAGGGAUAACUAAAAUCGAACGUUAACUCAUUCUACGUCCAACCCUUAAGAGGGAACACACAGUCUUAGACUUCAUAAACUGGUAAACCCAAGUGAAGAUAGUACAAAACAUAGGAAGGAGAUAAAAUUCUAAAUGCUCCGUGUACGUCCAAUCAACAACAAAGUUUGUACAGUUACUUUCCAUUAUUACAAUUUUAACCAAGGGGUUCCCGGUUCCACCACUACUAAUGAAACACGAAGAAAAGGAUGAACAAGAUUUUUACUAGGAAGACCCACUACAACUAAAUCCAAAAACACCAGCACAGUAUGUGGUUAAUGGCAGCUCUACCCAUUACCAUACCCUUACCCGAGGUUCCUACACUUUUACCAGACCUUCUGUCUCAAUCGUCGCUGUACACAGGAGUUCAUUAAAGAACGGUUUCCACUACACUUCCAAUCGAUGACACUAGUUCCUUUAUUGUACAUAGACACACCAAACAAGGACGACAACUAGCCAGCAACGACGUAAAUUCCAUACAACACGGGCCACGAUGAAUUACGAUAUAUUUUGGAUAUCGACAUGUAUUUUGCGGAACUAUACGUUUAUUGGGUCAAUUUUAUUUACCCAACGCGGUAGAUCGUAAUGUACUGCUGUACGGUUUGUGAAACGGUGGAUCCUAUCAGAUAUAAACAUAAAGUAAGUCAAUAGAGUAUAAAGGUCAUUUUUUUUGAGAAGCGAAACCCCAAAACCUUAUUAGAAGUCCUUCAACCACUGUUCAAUCAUCUUGAAUAUCUUUACGGCGAAAGUAAUCUGUUACUGUACGGUUUCUGCGGUGACGGAUUCCAUCAGAAACCUGAAUUCGAUACAUGUUAUUGUUCUAAACAGCGAAGUCAAAAAUCUUAUUAGUAACUAUUCAACCAAUUCUUAAUCUCGAUUUCAAUGUGUACUCAUCAUAAACAACAUGUUUGUAGGUCAAUUAAGAACUCUAUGUUAUCUCUGUGAUAUAAUCAUGAUGAAAUCAGUUUAUGUAACAGGUGACCAACAACAUCACUUUACAGCGAGAUCGAUAAUUAAAUGUCUUAACAUCUUUUAUCGGGGAUGCCUUAAUGUUUCUCGCUCUUAUUCCUUCGACCGUUUGAAUCACGAGGUACCAUAAAGUCAUCUUUCCUUUAUCUUCUCUUAAGAGGUAGAUUCUCCCUACUGUAACUAAAUUUCUUUCUCUGAACGGAAGCCUUUAGCAUAAACGUGAAUAGAUGUUCUAAACCCCUACGCCGAGUUUCACAUUCUAUAAAAUACAGGAAGAUACGUAAAUAGCUAUGACAUCGGACAACCGACUGACAGGGAAUGAAUAGGUUUUUGUAACUCAAGACGAUGAAUGGGUUGGUCUACAAUUUAUAAAGUUUUACGCAGAAAUAUAACAGUAACAUAGCAUUAACGAAGAGGACUACACAAAAACAAAAUGUGGUCGUAUAUAAACCAGGUCUCUAUAAGUUAACAAACAGACUAUUCUAUUAUAAAAUGAAGAAAUACGUCGUGAGAAUACCGUUCGUGUAAAAAAGACCUACUUGACGACCAACCAAAAAAAGAGGUAUUUAUGCUAUUUAAUAGUAUAGUAUACUUUACAAUUCUAUAUGACUUUUAUACGGGACAUACUACCACCAGACCGUAAAAUCUUAACAAAACCCGUUAAGUACAAACAUACGUAAAAAAGAAAACCGGGAACUUCCGUAGAAAUUAUCAAACGUUAACGCUAUCUUUAACGACACGAGCAUAGAAAUCAAAAAUAAUGUUAACCAGCUCGAUGUUGCUCACGCAGACUAAGGUUGAGUAGUUCCGCUCGAGGGAGAAAAUAAGAAGAGUCCAUUACUCCGCAGUCACAUCCGGGUUAGAAAAACAAACAACGAAACUUCUCACAACAGUACAACACCUUUCCGUUGUACACGAACUAUACACCUCAACCACAACUCGGACCGCCAUCAUCUGUCCCUUCCGUGGGUAGAGUGAAAUAGAACUCUCAACUAAGUAUAGAAAAAAGAACUGGACUAACUCAAGGAAUAUACGUUCCUAUUUCUUCUUCCCCGUAACAGCACCAACAACGAAUUCCACAACCAGUCCUCGACUAACGGCCCUGACUACUGUUCUUGCCUCUCGUCCUACUCAUACAGUUGUACUACAAGGAACUACAACCGGAAGAAAAUAUUUCAAGUGUACGUUGAGAGGAGGUACCAAUCUUUAUUGAUUAAAUUUGCAAAACAAAGAAACCACCAAUGAGUAAAGAGAAUGGCAACAACAUAGUUUUGUUAAACAUAAAAGCAACUACCGGUGAACCCGAGUAAAAGCUCCUCUUACUCUACACCUUAUUUGAUGAGAUUUUACCAACCAAGGGAAUUCUGUUAAAUAAUCGUUGAUUAAAACCGACGACCACGUGUACUAUGUUAACACGAGACAACAACGGUAGAACGUAAAAUACACUCGAAUUUGUCUGUUAGUUAAUUUGAAAAUGAUUCAAGAAUGGCAUACAUAAACGAGUUUGUGUCAAUGACUUUUUUAAGUUUAUAAAAAUCGUUCAUGUACCAAAAUUUACCCUGAGCCACGGUAAAUCGCGCUACCCGUCACAAUAUCUUUAUAUUAAAAAACCACGUUGUCAAUAUGUGAGAAAAAAGUUUGAACCUAAAGUGUUAGACUAUCUGUAAAAGUUUUCUCAUACCAAAUUAUAUACCCAAAAGAUGUUGUUCAUGACUUAUACAGGAACGUUUUCUUUGAUAAAAGUAGGUGUUGUACCGACUCCUUUACGGAGACAGUGGAUUGACUCCUUGGCUCUUUCUUUCCUUUCCCUAUCUGUAAGAGACGACCUAGGCAGGUGACGACGAAGUAUAAGUUGAGCCAGGUGUCCGUAGCGAGAUACACCCAACCCGAUUUAUUGUAUACUAGAUAGGAUUAUGGAGGAGUAGGGAUAUAGAUACAUACAAGUGUUGUUUCUGUACAAAAAAAGGAAUCCAAAGAAUAGGAAAAGGAAGAAAAAAAGUCCAUACCUGAUAGUAUUAUGGAAGGUUAGGGAUAUAGAAGCAUAUACGUGUUGUUUCUGUACAAAAAAAGGAUCCAAAGAAUAGAAAAAGGAAGAAAAAAACGUCCUUUUUCUACGUGCCAAUCCAAAGAGUAGUACUAUUGGUACAAAAGUUUGAACGAUUUUUUUAUGUUGGUACGGUUGAAAUGAGAGAGUAGUAUCACCAGUAUAAAAGUUUGACUUGUAUAAGUAUAAUACGUUUCAAAAGGAAAAGGAUCUGAUAAUAAAUUGUUGCAUUAUUUGUACAAAUUUUUAUCGUACUAAAUCAACUUCCAAGAACGUCGUACUUUGAUAAAAGUAGCUGUUGUACAGAAGUCGUCCAGAGACGCGGUAAACCGCCUUGCCCAGUUGAUCAAAAAUAUAUCUCCGUCGUUGUGUACCUCUUUUAGUAUUGGUUAACCACCACAUUAUUUGUAGCCCUAAAAGAGUCAAGAGUACUGUAAGCAAACUCCUGUUAUUGCUACCUUCCAAUACGUAGGUUAGUCCGUUUGUCUCUGAAGCAGUGUAAGAAGGAUAAAUUACGCUCCAAUGAUAACAAGUACCCCGAAUUCAAAAAGUUGUUCUUUAAAGAGUGUCUACCUAUACAACCUGUCGUUUUUUUCUUCUAAGCCCAGCUGUUUACCCGAAUACUUGCACGAGCCGAAGAUAAAUGUUGUUGAACAGCAAUAUACGCUCAUUUGAAAAACCGUAUCCUACAACUAAAAUACCUAGUCUGGCUGGGUAAAUAAACACUGACGGUUUUUAUCACCAACCCAAUCUACAAUAACGGUACGCACAAGUCAGACCUAAAACAGAUUUGGACUACUUGUUAAUUAGGAACCCGAAAACAUGACAAAUAUUCGAACUCAAUCUAUAACAACGGGAAAAGUUGAACCGACGCUGACAGUAUAAAAUAAACUUUGUUCCGUUU